CAGAAAGUGAGAUCUUAAUAAUGCAGAAUAAUAAAGCAUGGACAUGGCACAACCAGACAGUUUUUCCUACUAAUGAGCCGAUUUGUGGAUACGACGGUCAAAGUUGUCCGAAUAAUUCAGGAAAUUUCACCUUGAUCGUACUGUGCAUCGUAUUGAUCUGCAUAUUCGUCAUCGCGAUAGGUGCUGCAUGGUUUUACCGGCGAAAAGCCAAUCAUCUCGCAAUUGCCCAUAUGUUUCUAAAUUCAUCUUCCUUUACCUUUGAAUCACCUGACAACGGUAUCAAGAAAUGCCCCAGUGACGGGAAGCAAAUCGUCUCCUGCUUGCAUGCAACACUGCAACUGGAAAGUCAGCCAGUGUAUCUUGUGCGUCUGCCCGGCAGCGCU